rnacentral:misc_RNA from 1 species
GAGAAAACAAUGUAACAAUUUAAUAACAAAUACCCAAAAGAAAAAUGAAACCCCUAUCAUUUACACUUAGGGAAAAUUUUUAGAAGAAAAAAAUUACAUACAUACCUAUCAAACUCGGUAUCUUUAAUAGCUGUAAGACUCAGAACUCUAGAUCCUAUCUAUGUGGUGGGUGACGGAAAGGAAAUAAAUUGUUAGACCCACCAAAAAAUGGAUAAAAAAUGGAUAAUCUUCAUUGACAUCUAUGCACGUAUUUUUCUCUCUUGUUUGCAAAGAACUACUUCCUUGAGGUAUCAAUGCAGAAACUAACCAGGCCAUGGUUCAAUUCAGUUAUAUAGUGGCAGCAGCAGGCAGCUAAGAACCUAACUAUAUAUCUAGGAGGUUGCUCCUGGGAAAUUAUAUAUGAUAUCUGAGUUAGCAAAUAAAUGUCGGCCAGAUACCGUAAAAUCCAUCUUCACCCCAUAAAAAGGUAUUUCAAGUCCUCCACUGUUAAACGAGUCUGACGACCACCA